UACGAAGGGGGCUAGCGUUGCUCGGAAUUACUGGGCGUAAAGGGCGCGUAGGCGGUUCUAUAAGUCAGGCGUGAAAUUCCUGGGCUUAACCUGGGGGCUGCGCUUGAGACUGUGGGACUUGAGGUCAGAAGAGGGUCGUGGAAUUCCCAGUGUAGAGGUGAAAUUCGUAGAUAUUGGGGAAGAACACCGGUGGCGAAGGCGGCGACCUG
rnacentral:rRNA from 1 species